CUAGGUAUACUUUGGAAGACUUUGGAAUACGUAGUAUUCCAAAGGUCGUAGGUUCGAUUCCCAACGUGGUCAGGCAUAUUUUUCAAGCUUGCCCGGUGUGGGACAGGAUAUACACUCAGAGUAACAUCACAAGCAUCAUAUUCACCUGAGUACAUUACACCAACACAGAAAAAUCAUGAUAUGAUAAGGUAUAUUAACUAAACAAUAGAUUUAAAGGUGAUCUACAGUCCGAUCUGCGCAUGUGCACAAAUGAGCCCACUUUUUAUGAUACAA